UCAUUUAAAGAAAGCGUAAUAGCUCACUGGUCGAGUCGGCCUGCGCGGAAGAUGUAACGGGGCUAAACCAUGCACCGAAGCUGCGGCAGCGACACUGUGUGUUGUUGGGUAGGGGAGCGUUCUGUAAGCCUGUGAAGGUGUGCUGUGAGGCAUGCUGGAGGUAUCAGAAGUGCGAAUGCUGACAUAAGUAACGAUAAAGCGGGUGAAAAGCCCGCUCGCCGGAAGACCAAGGGUUCCUGUCCAACGUUAAUCGGGGCAGGGUGAGUCGACCCCUAAGGCGAGGCCGAAAGGCGUAGUCGAUGGGAAACAGGUUAAUAUUCCUGUACUUGGUGUUACUGCGAAGGGGGGACGGAGAAGGCUAUGUUGGCCGGGCGACGGUUGUCCCGGUUUAAGCGUGUAGGCUGGUUUUCCAGGCAAAUCCGGAAAAUCAAGGCUGAGGCGUGAUGACGAGGCACUACGGUGCUGAAGCAACAAAUGCCCUGCUUCCAGGAAAAGCCUCUAAGCAUCAGGUAACAUCAAAUCGUACCCCAAACCGACACAGGUGGUCAGGUAGAGAAUACCAAGGCGCUUGAGAGAACUCGGGUGAAGGAACUAGGCAAAAUGGUGCCGUAACUUCGGGAGAAGGCACGCUGAUAUGUAGGUGAAGUCCCUCGCGGAUGGAGCUGAAAUCAGUCGAAGAUACCAGCUGGCUGCAACUGUUUAUUAAAAACACAGCACUGUGCAAACACGAAAGUGGACGUAUACGGUGUGACGCCUGCCCGGUGCCGGAAGGUUAAUUGAUGGGGUCAGCGCAAGCGAAGCUCUUGAUCGAAGCCCCGGUAAACGGCGGCCGUAACUAUAACGGUCCUAAGGUAGCGAAAUUCCUUGUCGGGUAAGUUCCGACCUGCACGAAUGGCGUAAUGAUGGCCAGGCUGUCUCCACCCGAGACUCAGUGAAAUUGAACUCGCUGUGAAGAUGCAGUGUACCCGCGGCAAGACGGAAAGACCCCGUGAACCUUUACUAUAGCUUGACACUGAACAUUGAGCCUUGAUGUGUAGGAUAGGUGGGAGGCUUUGAAGUGUGGACGCCAGUCUGCAUGGAGCCGACCUUGAAAUACCACCCUUUAAUGUUUGAUGUUCUAACGUGGACCCGUGAUCCGGGUUGCGGACAGUGUCUGGUGGGUAGUUUGACUGGGGCGGUCUCCUCCUAAAGAGUAACGGAGGAGCACGAAGGUUGGCUAAUCCUGGUCGGACAUCAGGAGGUUAGUGCAAUGGCAUAAGCCAGCUUGACUGCGAGCGUGACGGCGCGAGCAGGUGCGAAAGCAGGUCAUAGUGAUCCGGUGGUUCUGAAUGGAAGGGCCAUCGCUCAACGGAUAAAAGGUACUCCGGGGAUAACAGGCUGAUACCGCCCAAGAGUUCAUAUCGACGGCGGUGUUUGGCACCUCGAUGUCGGCUCAUCACAUCCUGGGGCUGAAGUAGGUCCCAAGGGUAUGGCUGUUCGCCAUUUAAAGUGGUACGCGAGCUGGGUUUAGAACGUCGUGAGACAGUUCGGUCCCUAUCUGCCGUGGGCGCUGGAGAACUGAGGGGGGCUGCUCCUAGUACGAGAGGACCGGAGUGGACGCAUCACUGGUGUUCGGGUUGUCAUGCCAAUGGCACUGCCCGGUAGCUAAAUGCGGAAGAGAUAAGUGCUGAAAGCAUCUAAGCACGAAACUUGCCCCGAGAUGAGUUCUCCCUGACCCUUUAAGGGUCCUGAAGGAACGUUGAAGACGACGACGUUGAUAGGCCGGGUGUGUAAGCGCAGCGAUGCGUUGAGCUAACCGGUACUAAUGAACCGUGAGGCUUAACCUUACAACGCCGAAGGUGUUU
rnacentral:rRNA from 1 species